UUCCUGCCUUGCUACCACUUCCAUCUGUCAUUUCGUUCCUUUUCUCUAUUUCUGAUGGUUGAACAGAAAUAGAGCAAACACCCGUAGUACUCUCAUCCUUCUUACGAUCUUGCAUCAUGUACUUGCGUCUCUUGUUUGAAUCCUCAGCUAUCUUCAUUUCAUCAUUGCUUGUUCUCUUAGAGCCUGAAAGAACAAAACUACUAUGAUCACCAAACAUGUUUCUUAAAUUCAAUAUUCCUACUGAUUCAUUGUUACCUCUUUCACGAGCUUGUUCCAUGUACUUGCGUCUCUUGUCACGAGCUUCCUCUACGCACUUGAGUCUCUUGUUUGAAUACUCAGCUAUAGUCAUUUCAUCGUUGCUUGAGCCUGAAAUAGUAUCAUCACUUAUGAUGUUUAAUGUUUCAACUGAUUCAUCAGCAUCCUUCUCCUUAGAAGAAUACUUGAUUAAUUCUGGAUACGUCUUCCUCCACCAUUCGCAGAACGUUGAAGUAACACGAGGUAUUGCAGAACGGGAAGGAAUGUGUAAUGCUAAAUCAUCAAUAGGCUUAUUAUAAUCAUUCCAAGCUGCCUCCCGUGAGAGGUUGUUCCUGUCAACAUGAGGAGAAGGAACAUCCUGAAGCAUUCCAAACUGUGAAGCCACUCUAUUGGGGAAGUAAUGCUCCACUUUCUCAAUGCCAACAAG